AAACUUUUAAAGGAUAACAGUCAAUCCACUGGUCUUAGGAGCC
rnacentral:tRNA from 1 species